AACGAACGCUGGCGGCAGGCUUAACACAUGCAAGUCGAACGCCCCGCAAGGGGAGUGGCAGACGGGUGAGUAACGCGUGGGAAUCUACCCAGUUCUACGGAACAACUGAGGGAAACUUCAGCUAAUACCGUAUACGCCCUACGGGGGAAAGAUUUAUCGGAAUUGGAUGAGCCCGCGUUGGAUUAGCUAGUUGGUGGGGUAAUGGCCUACCAAGGCGACGAUCCAUAGCUGGUCUGAGAGGAUGAUCAGCCACACUGGGACUGAGACACGGCCCAGACUCCUACGGGAGGCAGCAGUGGGGAAUAUUGGACAAUGGGCGAAAGCCUGAUCCAGCCAUGCCGCGUGAGUGAUGAAGGCCUUAGGGUUGUAAAGCUCUUUCAGUGGGGACGAUAAUGACGGUACCCACAGAAGAAGCCCCGGCUAACUUCGUGCCAGCCGCCGCGGUAAUAC
rnacentral:rRNA from 1 species